rnacentral:rRNA from 1 species
UACGAAGGGGGCUAGCGUUGUUCGGAAUCACUGGGCGUAAAGCGCGUGUAGGCGGCUUGGCAAGUCCGCUGUGAAAACUCGAGGCUCAACCUCGAGAUGUCGGUGGAAACUGCUUGGCUAGAGUCCGGAAGAGGAGUGUGGAAUUCCUGGUGUAGCGGUGAAAUGCGCAGAUAUCAGGAAGAACACCUAUGGCGAAGGCAGCACUCUGGGACGGUACUGACGCUGAGACGCGAAAGCGUGGGGAGCGAACAGG